GUCCACGCCGUAACGAUGAAUGCUAGCCGUUGGGUAGCUUGCUAUUCAGUGGCGCAGCUAACGCAUUAAGCAUUCCGCCUGGGGAGUACGGCCGCAAGGUUGAACUCAAGGAAUUGACGGGGGCCCGCACAAGCGGUGGAGCAUGUGGUUUAAUUCGACGCAACGCGCAGAACCUUACCAGGGUUUGACAUCCUGCGACCGCUCCCUAAUAGGAGUUUUCCCGCAAGGGACGCAGAGACAGGUGCUGCAUGGCUGUCGU
rnacentral:rRNA from 1 species